CUCACCUUCUAUACUAAUCAUUGAUAUUAUGUUGAUAGUCCUAAGUAUAAAGCUAAGCUUUAAUACAACUGUCACAUAAACUUAACAUUAACCAAGAUAACUAAACAAAGACCAAUGAACCUUGAAAAUGAGGUCAAGGUCAGAUGAACUAUGCCAGGCAGACAUGUACAGCUAACAAUGCUUCUAUACAACAUAUAUAGUUGACCUAUUACUUAUAGUUUAAGAAAAAUAGACCAAAACACAGAAACUUAACACUGUGCAAUGAACCGUGAAAAUGAGGUCACGGUCAAAUAAAACCUGCACGACUGACAUAAAGAUCAUAAAAUAUUUCCAUACACCAAAUAUAGAUGACCUAUAUGCAUAUAUAGUAUUAGAUAAAAAGACCAAAACUCAAAAACUUAACUUUGACCACUGAACCAUGAAAAUGAGGUCAAGGUCACAUGACAUCUGCCCGCUAGAUAGGUACACCUUACAAUCAUUCCAUACAACAAAUAUAGUAGACCUAUUGCAUAUAGUAUGAGGAAAACAGACCAAAACACAAAAAUUUAACUAUAACCACUGAACCAUGAAAAUGAGGUCGAGGUCAGAUGACACCUGCCAGUUGGACAUGUACACCUUACAGUCCUUCCAUACACCGAAUAUACUAGUCCUAUUGCUUGUAGUAUCUGAGAUAUGGACUUGACCACCAAAACUUAACCUUGUUCACUGAUCCAUGAAAUGAGGUCGAGGUCAAGUGAAAACUGUCUGACAGACAUGAGGACCUUUCAAGGUACGCACAUAUCAAAUAUAGUUAUCCUAUUACUUAUAAUAAGAGAGAAUUCAACAUUACAAAAAAUCUUAACUUUUUUUUCAAGUGGUCACUGAACCAUGAAAAUGAGGUCAAGGACAUUGGACAUGUGACUGACGGAAACUUCGUAACAUGAGGUAUCUAUAUACAAA
rnacentral:lncRNA from 1 species